rnacentral:lncRNA from 13 species
CAACCUAUUUAUAUCAACACUCCUGUUUGUCAAAUGGAUGAUAAACCCUCAUCUCUUGUCAUUAAACACAUCAACAUCAGCCUUUAAUAACAAUUAUAUCUGACAAUGAUUUUUGAAUCGUACCUUAAUUAUGUCAACUUUACCUCUAUUCUACAGUACAUAGACACCAUACACAAGAAGGCUGAAAUAUUAUUGAUAUAGUUGUGAUCAAAUGACUUUGAGAGGCUACUAUCCCUCUAAGGCUUAAAAGACAAACAAAAAUAUGUUAUUUUCAGAUUGUAAUGGAUUACUUUUUCAUGAGGGGUUGUGAACCUGCCCUAAAAAGCCUGGUCCCAGAUCUAGACAGAUAUAAGACCAAGUUAGCCAUAAAUAGCCUGGUAACAGAUAAUCCGACCACAGGAAAUUACUAGAUAUGGUAAUUAUGUCCAUAUUCUGUCCCAGCACCAUACCUGGCCCACCCUGACCCAUGUACUGCAUGCUGGCCAGCUGGCCUGGCCCUACUCUGUACUGGGCCCCGUUGGCCAGGUGUUGGCCCUAGAUCGGCUCCAGUGCAUGUCCAUGGUUGGCCUUUGCCACGAUGAGUGUAAUUUCUGUUGUCCAUUGUUUGUUUGUGCUCAGAGCUCAGCAAUAUGGCAGAUCUCCAGGAGAGCGAGGGGGUUAAGAGUAGCCUGGAAUCCAAACGGAAUAUAUGCAUUUUAUUUAACUGAUUCAGUGAAGUGAAACAAUCGUGAAAUACAGCGAUAUUCCCUUUGGAUUCCAGGCUAGAAAAAGAGCUGAGAGACCAGUGAGUUGUAGCUCUAGUAUUGGAACAGAUUACUACAACUCGUGCAUUACAGAGGGAAGCUUUCCCCUUCCCCCAAUCCUCUCUUCAACCCCUCACUGCUCCUCCAACCUCUCUGUUCUGACAUCUCCACAAAUAACUCAACAACAGAACAGGACAGGAAGUUCUCGUACUAGUCACUGGAGCAGUAACCUUGCAAAAACAUCAUUAUGCACAGGGGCCAGGGGGAAAGAACACUGCACCGCCACAGUUUUCUAAUUACCAAGUCAUUGGGGCUGUCAUGCUGGAUGACCUCAAUUAAGACAAGCGUGUGUGAACUGGUCAUUAAAUCUAAACAGGAGAACCAGCCGAGUAAGCAAAUCUAUGGAAACAGCAACCAACCUGUGUGUGAGUGCGUGCAUGUCUGUGUUGCUCUGCCCUGUUGGGUUUGGCCCACUUCGGUAAUGAAAUCAAUGCCACAGGUAAAGAGAGGCAGCUUUAAACAACGAUUAAACCAACCAAGUACUGCCGGAGUAGUGCCUAGCACUAUGCUGUGUCCACAGACUGGACUAAUGAACGUUGUCCACAGUUCAAGGCAGUUGAAAUAG